GACGAACGCUGGCGGCGUGCUUAACACAUGCAAGUCGAACGGAAAGGCCCUGCUUUUGUGGGGUGCUCGAGUGGCGAACGGGUGAGUAACACGUGAGUAACCUGCCCUUGACUUUGGGAUAACUUCAGGAAACUGGGGCUAAUACCGGAUAGGAUCUCCUGCUGCAUGGUGUGGGUUGGAAAGUUUCGGCGGUUGGGGCUGGAAUCGCGGCUUAUCAGCUUGUUGGUGGGGUAGUUGCUUACCAAGGCUUUGACGGGUAGCCGGCCUGAGAGGGUGACCGGCCACAUUGGGACUGAGAUACGGCCCAGAAUCCUACGGGAGGCAGCAGUGGGGAAUAUUGCACAAUGGGCGGAAGCCUGAUGCAGAAACGCCGCGUGCGGGAUGACGGCCUUCGGGUUGUAAACCGCUUUCGCCUGUGACGAAGCGUGAGUGACGGUAAUGGGUAAAGAAGCAACGGCUAACUACGUG
rnacentral:rRNA from 1 species